rnacentral:rRNA from 1 species
GAUGAACGCUGGCGGCGUGCCUAAUACAUGCAAGUCGAGCGAACAGAUGAGGAGCUUGCUCCUCUGACGUUAGCGGCGGACGGGUGAGUAACACGUGGAUAACCUACCUAUAAGACUGGGAUAACUUCGGGAAACCGGAGCUAAUACCGGAUAAUAUAUUGAACCGCAUGGUUCAAUAGUGAAAGACGGUUUUGCUGUCACUUAUAGCUGGAUCCGCGCCGCAUUAGCUAGUUGGUAAGGUAACGGCUUACCAAGGCAACGAUGCGUAGCCGACCUGAGAGGGUGAUCGGCCACACUGGAACUGAGACACGGUCCAGACUCCUACGGGAGGCAGCAGUAGGGAAUCUUACGCAAAGGGCGAAAGCCUGACGGAGCAACGCCGCGUGAGUGAUGAAGGUCUUCGGAUCGUAAAACUCUGUUAUUAGGGAAGAACAAAUGUGUAAGUAACUAUGCACGUCUUGACGGUACCUAAUCAGAAAGCCACGGCUAACUACGUG